rnacentral:rRNA from 1 species
UACGUAGGGGGCGAGCGUUGUCCGGAAUCAUUGGGCGUAAAGCGCGUGUAGGCGGCCCGGUAAGUCCGCUGUGAAAGUCCAGGGCUCAACCCUGGGAUGCCGGUGGAUACUGUCGGGCUCGAGUCCGGAAGAGGCGAGUGGAAUUCCUGGUGUAGCGGUGAAAUGCGUAGAUAUCGCCAAGAACACCAGUUGCGAAGGCGGCUGACUGGACACAUAUUGACGCUGAGGCUCGAAAGCAUGGGGAGCAAACAGG